rnacentral:lncRNA from 1 species
CUGCUCUGUUUUCUUUAAGCCUUUCCCAUUCUAUUCGGACAAGGCCAAAUUGUUCUUCUGCAAAAAACUUUCUUCAUCCCUGUGUGUAGGUGAAUCCCCUUACUGCAUCUCCCUAUCCUCACCUGCUGCCCAUGGGUUAGUAUGGGGUGAUGUGGUACGUAAAACUCAGUGACAGGAACUUUAAGACCAGAGUGAGUGCUGGAUUCACAACUGGAAUACUUAAGUUAUGGUCUUGCUGCUGCCACUAGUAAAAGCAUGUGAUCUCAGUUCUUGGUUGCACUUGAUUUUCCUUAUCUCUGAAAUGAAGAUUGAAGUAGAAGAUGGCAUAUGGUCUUACCUGUCCUGCCAGUUUUGUUGUAUUGCAGAAUUAGAGAUCUAACCCAGGACUCUUGCAUGUCAGACACUCUACCGCUGAACUAUACCCACAACCUCUACACAGCUGUCUUUCAUUGUUCAAAUCAUUUAAUGCAUUUUCUUUGUGUACAAUAUGGAUUGUAAAUUCUUAGAGGGCAAAGAUCAUUUCUUAUAUUCCUUCCAUAUACCAAUAAAUUGUUUUUCUUGUCAUAUAUUGCAUGCUCAUGGUAUAAAUUUCAGAGAAUUAAAAAAAAAAAACAUAUGAAUAGUAAAAGUCAGUUUUUCCCACUAUACUCUCACAACAUUGCUAGGAGUGGCAGGACAGGGAGAUUCCUCACCCACAGAGCAAGUAAUGCUACAGAAGCAGACCCUGCUAGGUGUCCUUUAAUUCAAUUUAUUUAUUUUUUUUUAAUAUUUUUAGUUGUAAGUGGAAACAAUACCUUUAUUUUAUUUAUUUAUUUUUAUGUGGUGCUGAGAAUUGAACCCAGUGCCUCAUACAUGUGAGGCAAGUGUUUUACCACUGAGCCACCACUCCAGCCUAAUUUAAUUUAAUUUUGACACUGUCUUCCUGGGGGUAACAGCUCUGAAAGACUUUCCCCAAUUCAGUCAGCAGUUUAGGCCAGUUAUGACCAACCAGAUAUUAAUUAGUGUUCCCUGGCAACCCCUCCUUUAUGAAAUUGGUAGAGCAGUUCACAAAAUUAAUGAAACAUGUACCAGCUUAUUAUAAAAAUUAUCACCAAAACAAUAAAAAAUAAGUUAUCAGAAAGGAUACAAAUAAAGAGGUGCAUCAAAUGAAGUAUGGUAUGCCACCCUCAAAGAACUCUCCAAAUCCUUUCUUUUCGAGUUUUUCUGGAGGCUCCAUUAACAUGGGCACUAUAUAUUAAAUCAUUGGCCAACUUCACUGUCAGCUCCUAGCUUUUGUCAGUUCUUAGCAUACAAAAAGUCACUUGUCAUUCAUCACUUUUGAAGAUUCUGUGGAUUUUAGGAGCUCCAUGUCAAGAAAUGGAAUGAAGACCAAGUGUAUAUUUCAUGAUAUCACAUUUUAAAAAAGAAAGUGAAGAGUCAUUUGCUUCUGCAUCUAGAGAUAACCGUUGACAGCCCUUUGGUGUGUAUCCAUAAAAAUCAUUUUAUAUGUCCAUUUAUCUAUGUGCAUAUGUAUAUGUAUUUUAUCUUAAAUUUUUAUUCUAAAAUGUACAUACUGUAUAAUUUUAAUCAUUUUUGAGUGUAUAAUUCAGUGACAUUUUACAAUAAUACAUUCACAUUGUUAAGGAACCAUAUAUAAUACAUUCACAUUGUUAAGGAACCAUCAUCACUAUCCAUCUCCAUUGUAAAUGAUAACAUAAAACAAUAACUUGACUUUAAAGAAAAUAAGAUAACUUACUCUGAACCAAGUAUGAGUGGCACAGAAACAUGGAUUCAAGUUGCCUGAAUGACUUCUUCUGCUGUGGAAGAGAUUACCUGAACUUAUAGCCAAAGAACAAAAGUCAUGAAUCAAUAUUUUUAAGAAAUAUGUUGGUGAGGCCAGUAGGUAGGUGAGCUGUAGCAGAAAGGGAAAGUUUUUCCUAUAGGUAUUGACUGUUGCAGCCUUCUUAGCUUUAGGGUUGGUGGAGACUAGAGGUCUGUUAAGCCGUUAAUACAUUUUAAGAGGUUUACCUAGGAGAAUGUUAGGUGAGAUACAAAAGUUUAAGUAAAUGACUCUUUUUCUAAGGCCAUAAUGUAGCCCAAGCUAAUUUUGACUCUCAACCUGCAACUUGCCAUCUCUCCAUAAUCAGGAUGUUCUCAGCUGAGGUCAGUCUGCUUGAUCUUUAAUAUAGAUGGCACUGGGGAAUAAAACUGACUGAUUUAUGUUAUAUGCAUGUACAACUAUGUCACAAUAAAUUUGAUUAUUAUGUAUAAUUAUAAUGCACCAAUAAAAAUUAAUUCAAAAUAUAGAUGUGGCUUCUUCAAAGAAAUUCAGCUUCUUAUAUAGAUUAUCUCAUUUAUAUAUUUCCUAACCCUAUGAGGUAGGCGUUGAGAAGCAGAUGUACAGAUUGACUAGGAAUGGAGUCUAGGACAACCACUGGGUUUGGAAUUCCAUUUCUAUCACUGACCAGCUGUGUGACUUUUUAAGGA